rnacentral:lncRNA from 1 species
GGGAAGCAGACUCCCUGCUGAGCAGAGAGCCCGAUGUGGGACUCGAUCCCAGGACCCUGAGAUCAUGACCUGAGCCGAAGGCAGCAGCUUAACCCACUGAGCCACCCAGGCGCCCCGUGCCAUCUUAAUAGUGGCUCCACACCCAGCAUGGAUCCCAAUGUGGGGCUUGAACUCACAACCCUGAGACCAACACCUGAGCUGAGAUCAAGAGAUGGAUGAUCAACUGACUGAGACA